GAUGAAGAACGCAGCGAAAUGCGAUACUUGGUGUGAAUUGCAGAAUCCCGUGAACCAUCGAGUCUUUGAACGCAAGUUGCGCCCGAAGCCACUAGGCCGAGGGCACGCCUGCCUGGGCGUCACACGUCGUUGCCCCCCACCAUCUACUCCUUCGGGAUCGCGGGGGGCGGAUGAUGGCCUCCCGUGCGCCUAGCCGCGCGGUUGGCAUAAAUACCAAGUCCUCGGCGACGCACGCCACGACAAUCGGUGGUUGCGAAACCUCGGUUGCCCGUCGUGUGCGUUCGUCGCGCAUCGAGGGCUCGAAAAAAUGCUCGGCUCCGGCUCGGCUUUCAACGCGACCCCAGGUCAGGCGGGGUUACCCGCUGAAUUUAAGCAUAUCAAUAAGCGGAGGA
rnacentral:misc_RNA from 1 species